UUUGUUACUUCAAACCAACCGGACUUCGGUCUGACAUCAAGUGAUAUUGAACAAUUUAGCUGAUCGCACGGUCUAAGAACCGGCGACAUAUCCUUCAAAUGUCUGCCUUAUCAACUUUCGAUGGUAGAUUAUGCGCCUACCAUGGUUGUAACGGGUAACGGAGAAUCAGGGUUUGAUUCCGGAGAGGGAGCCUGAGAAACGGCUACCACAUCCAAGGAAGGCAGCAGGCACGCAAAUUACCCACUCCCGGCACGGGGAGGUAGUGACGAAAAAUAACAAGCUGGUCUCAAUGAGUUCCAGCAUCGUAAUGGGAACAAUUUAAAUCUUUUAUCGAGGAUCUAUUGGAGGGCAAGUCUGGUGCCAGCAGCCGCGGUAAUUCCAGCUCCAAUAGCGUAUAUUAAAGUUGUUGCGGUUAAAAAGCUCGUAGUUGGAUCUAGGAUUAGGGCUACGGUCGUUCAGCUUGGACGUACUGUAUGCCCGACUCCUUUUCUCUAGUAUUCGAUUGUUGCUCUUAAAUGAGUGACUUUAGUUGCUGGAACUUUUACCUUGAAAAAAUUGAAGUGCUCAAAGCAGGUU
rnacentral:rRNA from 1 species